UAAUGAUUUCAUGCAUGUUGCAUCAUUUUAUCAUUUCAACACGAAGCUCAGAGUGGAGGCUUCCUCUUCCGUCUAGGUCCUAGAAUGAGGCACACCUGGAAUAGCACCAAAGGAUCAUAGAUCCUGGAAAACAUAGUGAAAGCUAUUGGUUGGCUGGCCAUGAAAGUGCACACAUGCAACUACACUGAAUUUCGUAUAAAUUUCCAGGAACUCCUCAUUCCUCCCAAAUAUGAUCCAUGGACAUCUAGAUGAAGGACGCUUGGCACAGAAGCAGUACACACUUGAUGUUUGUCUACUCUGGAUGUCAUUAACGUUGGGUCCCCUAACUCUUAGUAUCUAUAAUAAACAAAACCUGGGAUU